rnacentral:rRNA from 1 species
UACAGAGGAAACAAGCGUUAUUCGGAAUUAUUGGGCGUAAAGGGUGUGUAGGCGGUCAGCACAAGUCAGUUGUGAAAUCUCCGGGCUUAACUCGGAAAGGUCAACUGAUACUGUGCGACUAGAGUGCAGAAGGGGCAACUGGAAUUCUCGGUGUAGCGGUGAAAUGCGUAGAUAUCGAGAGGAACACCUGCGGCGAAGGCGGGUUGCUGGGCUGACACUGACGCUGAUGCGCGAAAGCCAGGGGAGCGAACGGG